rnacentral:rRNA from 1 species
GAAUAUUGCACAAUGGGCGCAAGCCUGAUGGAGCAACGCCGCGUGGGGGAUGACGCUUUUCGGAGUGUAAACCCCUUUUCGAGAGGACGAAGCCAAUGACGGUCCUCUCGGAAUAAGGACCGGCUAACUACGUGCCAGCAGCCGCGGUAAGACGGAGGGUCCGAGCGUUGUCCGGAGUUACUGGGCGUAAAGCGCGCGCAGGCGGUUUCAUACGUCGGGUGUGAAAGCCCCCCGCUCAACGGGGGAGGGUCAUUCGAAACGGUGGAACUGGAGGCAGGGAGAGGUCGGUGGAAUUCCCGGUGUAGUGGUGAAAUGCGUAGAUAUCGGGAGGAACACCAGUGGCGAAGGCGGCCGACUGGACCUGUACUGACGCUGAGGCGCGAAGGCGUGGGGAGCGAACGGG